CGGAGCGCACUACUUGUGUGGGGCUUCCAUCAUAAGAUUUAACAGACCGUGAGCAUGAUCAAAUCCUCUAAGCUCGAGGAUACCCUGUCCUCUAGGGUCACAAUCAUCAUAUAGUCCAUAGGUUUCAUAUACACUAUCACUCACAUAUGUGUCAUUUGUUCUUUUGCUUACUAUCAACUAGAUGCCACUCGUCCAUUGUUUACUAUCGACUAGAUGCCACUCGUUCAUUGUUCAUCAUUUUCUCUACAUUAUAGGAUUCACAAGGCUCGACCCAAUCCUCACCAAUCCUCUAGAUCCAAUAUCCAAUACAUACUACAAUAUCAUCAAGGAAGGCGUAAGGAAAGGCAAUGCAACAUAAUCCUAUAAUGCAAUAAUACAAGAUGCAAGGAUCAAAAUAUACUAAGACAUAGAAGGGAGCCCGAUUGCUUCGGGAUGGACA
rnacentral:lncRNA from 1 species